UACGGAGGGUGCAAGCGUUAAUCGGAAUUACUGGGCGUAAAGCGUACGCAGGUGGUCAAUUAAGUCAGAUGUGAAAGAUCCGAGCUUAACUUGGGAAAUGCAUCUGAAACUGGUUGGCUAGAGUCAUGUCGAGGGGGGUAGAAUUCCAUGUGUAGCGGUGAAAUGCGUAGAGAUGUGGAGGAAUACCGGUGGCGAAGGCGGCCUCCUGGACAAAGACUGACGCUCAGGUACGAAAGCGUGGGGAGCAAACAGG
rnacentral:rRNA from 1 species